GCAUGCCUAGUCAAAAGCACCAAAUCAGUGGCCAAGCAGUGGCACAUGGACCUGUAUUUUGUCCUGUUUAGUUGAAUAUGUUUCUUUUGGAGAAUCUGGUCUUUUACAAAAUUGCACAGUAAAGAAGUCUUGUUGCUUAUGGUAUAUUUUGGUGAUCAAUGAUCAUAAUGCCAAGUCAAGCAAGCAAGGACAUCAGCAUUA
rnacentral:lncRNA from 1 species